rnacentral:lncRNA from 10 species
CCCAGAAGUAGAGUAACAGAGAGACACCACAGCUGCAUGAGAGUGAGAUGCUAAUGUGGGGCAGGCAGGACUCGGCUCCAGACAGUGCAUGCUAUCAGGACACCUUCCAUGACUCGGGAAGACCUCAGUACAACCACCGGGGCAGGCACAUGCUCUCUUGCCCAUCUGCCUUCCACCAUGGGAUGAUGCAGCAAGAAAGCCCUCACCAGAUGUGAGCCCCUCAACCUUGGACUUCCCAGGCUGCAGAACUCCAGGGUCUGCGGGUCGGACCCCACAUCUGUCCUCGUGGGAAGAGUGUAGCAGACAUGAAGAGAACAGCAGAAAUGCAAUAAGCAGUAAGUGUAGCUGCUCCCUAGAACUGUGUUGGAUCCUGAAAGCCAUUCAGCUCCAGUUU